UAAUAAGUGUUUAUGGCGCUCCUUAAAUCCAUAUCCACCUUGUGUGCAAUGUCAGCCGUUUUCUUUAUGAAAGCGGCCAAACAUCAACUUAUUUUUUAACUGUCUGUCUGAAAACUAUUAUGAAUAAACAAUUCAAAUA
rnacentral:misc_RNA from 1 species